GCCAUCGUUCUUGAUAUUGUCGGGAAACCCCGGAAGGUUGUCAAUGAAGGGCUCGACGGCUCCCCUCUUCUGGCCAUGGACGUGGUAUCUUCUGCACCUUCUCCUGCCAUCAUAAUAGAACAGUCUCAAGACUGAGGCCAAUGGAGACGGACUUUGUGUGUAGGAUGGCGGCAUCAGAGAAGCGAAAACCCACAAGGCGGAUUCACAGAAGACCACCGAUCUUUGAUCUGAAGAGACGGCGACGCCAUUAGGGAAGUAGAGGCCGUGGAGGAGCACUUCGGCCACGCCCGUUUCUGGAUUGAACCCCAG
rnacentral:lncRNA from 1 species